GAAGGCUCUUUGCUUUUCCAUGGGUUAGUUGACUCUUGACUGCAGGUGAAAUCCAUAUAAAAUUAGACAGGUUUAAAAAAAAAACAAAACAAAAAAGCCGGGCGUGGUGGCGCACGCCUUUAAUCCCAGCACUUGGGAGGCAGAGGCAGGUGAAUUUCUGAGUUCAAGGCCAGCCUGGUCUACAGAGUGAGUUCCAGGACAGCCAGGGCUAUACAGAGAAACCCUGUCUCAAAAAACAAAAAAAAAAAUAAUUAGACAGGUUUUACUGAUAGGUGGUUGACUUAAAUUUGACAGACUUUAACUGUCUAUCCCUGGCUGAUCUUGUAUUGUAGCUGCUGUUCCCCAAAUCUCACCCAAGGUUAUAUAGUGUGAGCUACCACUGUAGGAUUAGACUGGGUUUGUUUGUUUGUUUUGCUUUUUGUGGCUUGGUUUCUGGAUCUCCACUGGCUUACAUAGGAAAUUCUUACAUUUCAACCCCAAGUUUCUGAGACCGUAGGUAGCACUCCACCAUGCCAUCUCUUCAGCCACUUGUUUGUAGUUUUGUACUUUGUUGGGGGUGGAACCAAGCUCUUGUGCACAGCAAACACACCUCUCAAACUGAACUAUACUGCAGGUGUUCCUAAAUUCAAGACCCCAGUGCUCAAGACUCAAGGGAGGAGCAUCCACUGCCUUCGGUAUGCCAUUGUGUGCCUAAGCACUGACCUUUCCGAAAGGAUUCAGAGUCCAGCUAUGUGUCUCAUCCCCCACACCUGGGCAUCUCUGCCUUCCAGAGUCUGCUUAAGCUAGAUUUCAGGUAGAGUCCACUCCUUCCUUUGUCAACUUGAAGGCUCUAUCGUCAGAACAAGCCUGGUCCUACCUCACCAACCCUGGAUGGUGGGGUUUGGAGCAAGUGAGGUAGAUGAGUCCUGGGGCUUUGCUGGUUGUUACCUCCUAUGACAGCAGGUGUCCCAUCUGGAAAGUUGAGUCUGUCGUCAGCCUGUGCUAAGCUGGCUGGGCACACAAAGCUUCUCAUGAGAGUGGUCUACCAUCCCAAAUAGCAAAAACGCCCCACAGCCAGGCAAGGUGGCAUGUAUCUGUGAUCCCAGCAAUGAAGAGGUAAAGAUCAGGAGUUAAGGGUCAUCCUCAUGCUAGCCUGGGCUACAGGACCUUGUUUUUGAAAAAAUAAAACAGGAGCUGGAGAAAUGGGUCAGCAGUUUAUAGAGGCCCAAGUUCAGUUCCCAGCACCCUUGUCAGGCAGCUAACAGCCCAUCUGUAACUCCAGCUCUGGGGGUCUGACAACCCUCUUCUGGCAUCUACACAUACCUGAACACUUAGAGCAUUUACAAAU
rnacentral:lncRNA from 1 species